rnacentral:rRNA from 1 species
AUGGAUGAUCAGCAUGUGUCCGUGAGGUGUGUCCCAAAACACGAGGAGGCAACCCGUUAUUACCACGCCCGUCUGAGCCGCAUUGUCGGUGUUGUGCCACCAAGGUCUACACACACCUUUGUUGUAAUGAUGAAACAAUUACAGCGGCCGCCGGCCAACAUGGACGUGCUUGAUAUAGUCAUAGAGACUAUCCUAGGGGAAGUACUGUCAUCGGAUUAUCGGUUUGAGAUGUAUUUUAAGGAUGCUAGAAAAGAAAACAGCCGUGGAUUUCGUGAGGUGACCCUAAAGGCUGUAUGUGCAACAACGUGUGAGAAGACGACAUCUGAGGUCAUACUUCAUGAUGAUUAUUACUAUAGACUAAGGUCAAUGGAUGUGCACCCUACAGAGCCUUGGAUUUUGGCAGCCUAUCUCAAACGGCUUGUGAUUUGGAACUACAAGACCCAGACAAGAAUGAUGGAGCGUGAAUUCUACCCUGGGUUGGCUCAUUCCCUCAGAAAGCUUGGCGCCUCCUCCGAUGGGUACGUUAGGUGCGUUAGGUUCAUCUUGCUGUCGACGAAGAAAUUGUUCGUGGUGGGUGAUGGGCAUGGGUACAUCCACGUGUAUGAAUGUAUGGCAAUGAAGAGAGUCAAGGAAUUCAAAGCUCACGACUGUGUGAUCACAUCCUUAGCCGUUCACCCGUCUCAACCAUUUGUGCUGUCGGCAUCUUCCAACAAACGGAUCAAGCUUUGGAACUGGGACAAGGGGUGGGAGUGCAUCCGGACAUUCUGUGGACACUCAGGGUUGGUGAACCAAGUCAAGUUUAAUCCGCAUGACAACACCACUUUUGCCAGUGCUUCACUUGACGGCACAGUGAAGAUCUGGAGAAUUUCUUCUCCCACUCAUUUCACCAGCCUCAACUGCGAAGAGGGUCAGGUCUGCGUUGAUUACUAUCCCACGGGUGGUGAUCAGCAGCACUACAUGGCUACAGGAUCAGACUAUGGGACGGCACGCAUCUGGGAUUUGCGAACACAGAAAUGUAUCCGUGAAAUCGUGUCUGCGGAUAUAGUUGGUGUGAUCGAUUGCCAACCAAAUCGUCCAGCAGUGUUGGUUACCGCGUCAGAGAACAAUGGUGUUUCUCUCCACGACUCCACAAUCUACAGGUCUGAGGGAACGGUUCAUUUCGGUCUUGGCCCUGUUUUAUGUUUUGCAUACAUCAAGGGCAUAAGAAGCCUCGCCAUUGCACAUACCCUGGGCAUUGCAAUCGUGGGAAUCGAUGAAUUUUCCAAGGACGCCCUUCCUCCUGCAAGGUAA